CGUACGAGCGCACCCUUGUCCUUAGUUGCCAGCACAUUAUGGUGGGGACUCUAAGGAGACUGCCUGGGAUAACCAGGAGGAAGGUGGGGAUGAUGUCAAGUCAGUAUGUCCCUUAUGUCCAGGGCUACACACGUGUUACAAUGGCCAGUACAAAGGGUUGCCAACCCGCGAGGGGGAGCUAAUCCCAAAAAACUGGCCUCAGUUCAGAUUGAAGUCUGCAACUCGACUUCAUGAAGGAGGAAUCGCUAGUAAUCGCGAAUCAGAAUGUCGCGGUGAAUACGUUCUCGGGCCUUGUACACACCGCCCGUCACGUCAUGGAAGUGGGUUGCACCAGAAGUGGCUUGUUUAACCUUCGGGAAAACGGUCACCACGGUGUGAUUCACAACUGGGACGAAGUCGUAACAAGGUAGCCCUAGGGGAACCUGGGGCUGGAUCACCUCCUU
rnacentral:rRNA from 1 species